AAUAAGUCUCGGCUAACUACGUGCCAGCAGCCGCGGUAAAACGUAGGAGGCGAGCGUUAUCCGGAUUCAUUGGGCGUAAAGGGCAAGUAGGUGGUUGACAAAGUUGGGCGUGACAUCUCUCGGCUUAACUGAGAGGGAGCGCACGAAACUAGUCGACUAGAGGGCAGGAGAGGGUGGCGGAACUCCUAGUGUAGCGGUGGAAUGCUCAGAUACUAGGAAGAACACCAGUGGCGAAGGCGGCCACCUGGUCUGUCUCUGACGCUGAGAGGCGAAAGCUAGGGGAGCAAACGGGCUUAGAUACCCCGGUAGUCCUAGCCGUAAACGGUGGAUACUAGGUAUUGGGGGCGAUAAAGCCUCAAGUGCCGAAGCAAACGCG
rnacentral:rRNA from 1 species